rnacentral:rRNA from 1 species
UGCGUAGGCGGAAUAUUAAGUCAGUGGUGAAAUCCUGCGGCUCAACCGUAGAACUGCCAUUGAUACUGAUAUUCUUGAAUGUAGUUGAGGUAGGCGGAAUGUGUAAUGUAGCGGUGAAAUGCUUAGAUAUUACACAGAACGCCGAUUGCGAAGGCAGCUUACUAAACUAUGAUUGACGCUGAGGCACGAAAGCGUGGGGAGCGAACAGGAUUAGAUACCCUGGUAGUCC